GAUGAAGAACGUAGUGAAAUGCGAUAAGUAAUGCGAAUUGCAGAAUCCGUGAGUCAUCGAAUCUUUGAACGCACAUUGCGCCCUUUGGUAUUCCGAAGGGCAUGCCUGUUCGAGCGUCAUUAUCACCACUCAAGCCCGGCUUGCUGUUGGUGGCAGCGCAGCCGGUCAACCGGCUACGCUCCACCCAAAGAUAAUGACGGCGUCUGCGAGGACUCCUGUACAUUGAGCUUUCGGGCACGUACAUGGCUAGAAGUCCAGGCGCCGGUCGACGUCCUCCGGGACACUUUUUACCAAGGUUGACCUCGGAUCAGGUAGGGAUACCCGCUGAACUUAAGCAUAUCAAUAAGCGGAGGA
rnacentral:misc_RNA from 1 species